rnacentral:rRNA from 1 species
GGGACCUAAGCUGAGGCCGAAAGGCGUAGGUGAUGGACAACAGGUUGAUAUUCCUGUACUACCGAUAACCGUUUGAGAGAAGGGAUGACACAGUAGGAUAAGCUAAGCACACUGUUGGUUAUGUGUGCCCAAGCAUUGAGGCAGUCAAAGUAGGCAAAUCCGCUUUGAUAAUGCUGGGAUGUGAUGGGGAGCGAAAUUUAGUAGCGAAGUAGCUGAUUUCACACUGUCAAGAAAAGUCUCUAUCGAGGUUAAAGGUACCCGUACCG